CACCACCCGCCAUCCGCACAACUCUCACCGCUAUCAUUCUUAACCACAUACAACAUUCAUCCACCUCAACUACCACAACUAACCACCCCAUCACCAUCAACAACCAUAAUCGACACUCCCCAUCAUUAUAAACUACCACCAUCCACCACCACCUUCCUCAAUCACAACCACCACCACCACCACCACUUACCACCACCAUCCUAAAUCAUAAUUGUCGCCACUACUAAUCACCACUAGCUACUACCCUGAAACACCGCCAUCAAC
rnacentral:lncRNA from 1 species